CUACGGGUUGCUGCAGUGGGGAAUAUUGGACAAUGGGGGCAACCCUGAUCCAGCCAUGCCGCGUGAGUGAUGAAGGCCCUAGGGUUGUAAAGCUCUUUCAACGGUGAAGAUAAUGACGGUAGCCGUAUAAGAAGCCCCGGCUAACUUCGUGCCAGCAGCCGCGGUAAUACGAAGGGGGCGAGCGUUGUUCGGAAUUACUGGGCGUAAAGCGUACGUAGGCGGUUUUACAAGUUAGGCGUGAAAGCCCCGGGCUCAACCCGGGGAUUGCGCUUAAAACUGUAUGACUAGAAUCCGGGAGAGGAUAGCGGAAUUCCCAGUGUAGAGGUGAAAUUCGUAGAUAUUGGGAGGAACACCAGUGGCGUAGGCGGCUAUCUGGACCGGAAUUGACGCUGAGGUACGAAAGCGUGGGGAGCAAACAGGAUUAGAUACCCGGGUAGUC
rnacentral:rRNA from 1 species